GUUUUCUCUUUUGUUCAGCUUUGGAUUCUGCACAAGACUCUCAGUCCACUGGAGAGCCUCAUCAUGAGCAGAUACACAAGGCAGAUGAGCAGAUCUCACAAGAAACAAGUGAUGGAGAAACACAAUUAUGUUCCAAAGCCUCCUGCUCACCAGAGACAGAAGCCCCUGAGAAAGACCAAGAGAAUCACAAACACGAGCUUGAAUCUAGUGCAGACUGUCAGGGUAACACACCGGAGGGAUCUGAGAGACGAGAGGCAGCAACGACCACUGUAGGACAGGUGUCUUCCUCCAUGUGUCCUGAGGUUAACCCCAGUGCUCCCGAGAUGGGAACAGAAAUCUGUGAACCUGACAGCCUGGGUGAUGCGAGUAGAAAAGGUGUUUCAGAAAAUGCUGCCAAUCAGUCCACUGAAAAGCCUCUUCAAGAGGACUCUUCCUGUCAGACAUCUGCCUUACGUGAAAAGAAAGGUGGUGAAAGGGGCCAGGGGGACUCCAGUCCGAAAUCCAAGACUGGUCUUGUAGAAGGAACUGACACUCAGUCCACUCAACCGCCUCUUCAACAGAAGGACUGGGCUUCGAGAGAGGGAUCUGCCUGCCCUAAAGUGAAAGAUGCUGAAAAUGUCCAGGUGGACAGUGACAGAAAAGACAAGAGUAUUAGCUGUAAACAGGACAUUGAUAAAGAAAUCCAGCAAGGUUCUGACCAAAGAAACAAGAG